ensembl:snRNA U4 U4 spliceosomal RNA
GGGAUUGUGCAGUGGCGGUGUUGUCGCCAGUGAGGUUUAUCCGAGGUGUGAUUAUUGCCGAUUGAAAACUCUUCCCACUACCCCACCAUGAUGACUUGAAGUAUAGUCGACAUUGGCAGUUUCUCACAGUCUUUAUGGAGA